UACGGGGGGAGCAAGCGUUGUUCGGAUUUACUGGGCGUAAAGGGCGCGUAGGCGGCCAGCACAAGUCAGUUGUGAAAUCUCCGGGCUUAACUCGGAAAGGUCAACUGAUACUGUGCGGCUAGAGUGCAGAAGGGGCAACUGGAAUUCUCGGUGUAGCGGUGAAAUGCGCAGAUAUCAGGAGGAACACCGGUGGCGAAGGCGGGUCUCUGGGCCGAUACUGACGCUGAGGAGCGAAAGCGUGGGGAGCGAACAGG
rnacentral:rRNA from 1 species